AUUGGAGAUAUCCAAUAAAAUUGGAACGAUACAGAGAAUAUUAGCAUGGCCCCUGCGCAACGAUGACACACACAAAUCGAAUAAAAUAAAAAAUAAAA
rnacentral:snRNA from 1 species